rnacentral:rRNA from 1 species
GAUGAACGCUAGCGGCAGGCCUAAUACAUGCAAGUCGGACGGGAUUUGGGAGCUUGCUCCCAAUGAGAGUGGCGCACGGGUGCGUAACACGUAUGUAACCUACCUUAGUCGGGGGGAUAGCCUCUCGAAAGAGAGAUUAAGACCGCAUAAAAUCACAGUAUAGCAUUAUACAAUGAUCAAAUAUUUAUAGGACUAAGAUGGGCAUGCGGAACAUUAGCUAGUUGGUGAGGUAACGGCCCACCAAGGCUACAUGUUUAGGGGAUCUGGAGAGGAUCGACCCCCCACACUGGUACUGAGACACCGGACCAGACUCCUACGGGAGGCAGCAGUAAGGAAUAUUGGU